rnacentral:rRNA from 1 species
AGAGUUUGAUCCUGGCUCAGGAUGAACGCUGGCGGCGUGCCUAAUACAUGUAAGUCGAACGGAUUACUAGCAAUAGUGAUUAGUGGCGAACGGGUGAGUAACGCGUUGGUGACCUGCCCCGAAGAGAGGGAUAACAGAUCGAAAGGUCUGCUAAUACCGCAUAAUCUCUUUAUGAUUAGAGGAAUAAAGAGGAAAGCAGAAAUGCACUUUGGGAGGGGCCUGCGUCCCAUCAGCUAGUUGGUAGGGUAAAAGCCUACCAAGGCGACGACGGGUAGGGGACCUGAGAGGGUGGCCCCCCACACUGGCACUGAAACACGGGCCAGACGCCUACGGGUGGCAGCAGUAGGGAAUAUUGCACAAUGGGCGAAAGCCUGAUGCAGCAACGCCGCGUGCACGAUGAAGGCCUUCGGGUCGUAAAGUGCUUUUCGGGGAGAUGAGGAAGGACAGUAUCCCCGGAAUAAGGCUCGGCUAACUACGUGCCAGCAGCCGCGGUAACACGUAGGAGCCAAGCGUUAUCCGAAUUCACUGGGCGUAAAGCGCGUGCAGGCGGCCCGGUAAGUUGGAUGUGAAAUCUCCUGGCUUAACUGGGAGAGGACGUUCAAUACUGUCGGGCUAGAGGGCGAGAGAGGGAGGUGGAAUUCCCGGUGUAGUGGUGAAAUGUGUAGAUAUCGGGAGGAACACCAGUGGCGAAAGCGGCCUCCUGGGUCGCACCUGACGCUCAGACGCGAAAGCUAGGGGAGCAAACGGGAUUAGAAACCCCGGUAGUCCUAGCUGUAAACGAUGUUGACUUGGCGUGGGUGGUGUAAAAGCCAUCCGUGCCGAAGCGAACGCGAUAAGUCAACCGCCUGGGGACUACGGCCGCAAGGUUAAAACUCAAAGGAAUUGACGG